CCGUGUUUGAUGAGGAGCUCCAGGACUUCAGGGUGGCUGUACUCCGCAGCGAUGCCCAGAGGAGUCACUCCAUGCUGGUCUGUCUCUGAAACCUGACCUCCGUUCUGUAACAGCAGCUCCACAACAUGAGCACAGCCAACCCUGGAGGCCUCGUGCAUGGCCGUCCACUUCUUCAGACACACCUGCUCCACCUGAGCUCCUCCAGCUAUUAGACCGGAAACCAUCUGAUAAGAUCCAGCUCUGACUGCUACAGGGGGAGGACAUGAGAGGAUGAGGAACUGAUGUUGAGGAUGGACAAAACAUUUUCUCUUGGGCGUCACUUUAUGUCUGCUGUGAAGGAUAGAAUAUACCAGACCUAAAAGCAGAGCGGAUUCGUUCUUGCUGUUGGUGGUGUGAGGAGAAGCUCCGUGAUCCAGCAGCAUCUUUACAUUUUCCACCAAACCAGCUUUCACUGCUAAAGUCAGGAAGGUCUCACCCUCCGAAGUCUUUUCUUCCAGAGUCAGAUUGAAAGACGCUGAAGCACAGAACAAAAAAUUAAACUUACUUUAGUGAAUUCAGCUCAGACAGGAGAGUCAACAAUCAUUCUCAUGACACAUGCUGGCUUUUAUUAGAUUGUCAGUUAAACAGUUGUUUAAAGCUGUUAAAGUUGAACACCGAGGCAGAUGAUGCACAUGCUGACAAUAUCAGGCACCAUGAACAAUACACAGGAAGCAGUUUGCAACUCAUUUGGAGUAUUCUGGUGGCCCUGAGGUUUAAGAUGCUGACCAUGUAAUCAUAUCACCUCUGGUUUGAGUCCAAAGUAAAGGCAAAAAUCCAAGGCUUCGUUUUAGCUAUGAAGUGAUACAUCUUGUCUCUAAAUUAUCUUUGUUGGGAGUUGCACAUUCGCAGCUCCUAGUUAAGGACUACUAGCCAAUCAGAAGCAGAGAAGGGCGGGUCAGCGAGAAGCCGGUAAACAGCUUCGGUUCAGCCGUAGGUGUUGCCGACCGAGAGUUUCACAGUGCACAGUCUCCAGGACCAGGACCAGAGGCUGGACCACCGCCCUGUGCAGAGGAUACCAGCCACACUCAUCCACCCGACUGAAGGCUGCUGGGAAAUCACAGAGCUCCUGUAGUGCCAACAUGUCACCUGCAGGGACAGUCUCAGUGUUUUCAUUUGGGUUGAGAUCUGAUAACCAUGAAGUCCAUGCACAUUCAUUGAAUCCUUCAGUCACCGCUUGGUGAGUCUGAGUUUGGAGCAGAUGUGGAAGUGGCUGACGUAGUCUAGCAGGAUCCGGACGACGCUCCCAGACAGAUGCAUGAGGCAGCAGAGGCUCAUGAACUCACAGAACUGAAGAGAGAGGAUGGACAUCAUCGUAAGCACUAGAAGCAUUGUCAUGGUGGCAAUGAAAGCACCGCUCCACCUUGUAGCCGUUGUUGAGCAGCAGCCUCAUCAUCACCUCGUCCUUCAGGCAGUACUGCAGCGCUGUGGGAAACACUGUGUCGCUCACUACUGUGAAGUAACAGUUCACGUCUGCUUUGGCCGCCAGAAGCAACUUUACAAUGUCGUAGCGCCCUGACCUGACCGCCACCAGGAGGCAGCACAGUGGGUCCUGGUCCGUCUUCGCCCCAGCUGCCAGCAGGAUUUUGGUGCAGUCCACGUCCCCGUUGGAGACAGCAAAGUACAGUGCGCUUCUCCUCAUGUCGCGGUAGUUUUCAGAGUUUCUCGUGUUCAUGCGGUAGUUAACGUCGAAGCCGCAGGCCAGCAAGAGCUCCAGGCAGCACCUCUGACCUCCAUCCGUCGCAGAGUGGACCGGGCUCUGACCCGCCUCUUUGAUGGCCUUCUUGGUGGUCAGAGGUAUCAACAUCUUCAGAGCACUUGGAGAAAAGAAAACAACAGUCCAAUCACUUCAUAAUAACAAAGAGUUCACAAAGACUUUUGAGUCUGAAGGUCCGGUCACGGCAGCUUUUAAAAAGGCAAACUUUUAUGGCGAGUCAGUUGAUUUCAGUGGAGUCAUCACAAUCAAUGGAUUUGCUCUCGAGGGUGACAUCUGAAUUUAUGCUGCUGAACAGUAACAAGCUUGACAGUGCUGACCUUUGAGCGAACAGAGAGCUGGAGACAGAGGAUCAACUGUUCCACAAAGGACGAACAGUUUGCAGACGGUUAUCAGACAGGA